rnacentral:rRNA from 1 species
GACGAACGCUGGCGGCGUGCCUAAUACAUGCAAGUUGAGCGCUGAAGGUUGGUACUUGUACCAACUGGAUGAGCAGCGAACGGGUGAGUAACGCGUGGGGAAUCUGCCUUUGAGCGGGGGACAACAUUUGGAAACGAAUGCUAAUACCGCAUAAAAACUUUAAACACAAGUUUUAAGUUUGAAAGAUGCAAUUGCAUCACUCAAAGAUGAUCCCGCGUUGUAUUAGCUAGUUGGUGAGGUACAGGCUCACCAAGGCGAUGAUACAUAGCCGACCUGACAGGGAGAUCGGCCACAUUGGGACUGAGACGCGGCCCAAACUACUACGGGAGGCAGCAGUAGGGAAUCUUCGGCAAUGGACGAAAGUCUGACCGAGCAACGACGCGUGAGUGAAGAAGGUUUUCGGAUCGUAAAACUCUGUUGGUAGAGAAGAACGUUUGUGAGAGUGGAAAGCUCAUCAAGUGACGGUAACUACCCAGAAAGGGACGGCUAACUACGUG